CUCUCUCUCUCUCUCUCUCUCUCUCUCUCUCUCUCUCUCUCUCUCUCUCUCUCUCCACCGCCGCGUCGACGUCAUGCACCGGAGAAGGUCUGCCCGUCACGCCGACUUAGACUUCGACUCGUUCGGGGUUGCCUGCGUGGCGGGAGGGCCGCCACCUUUCGAGCUCGUGAUCCAGCUCGCCCGAAACGUCCCCGGCGGGUGAGCUGGACGACGUUGCGAUGCGGAUCAUGUCGUCAGCCAUCGCGCCCACCGACCGGGGAAUCAAAAUCCACGAAACGAAGGCGUCGGCCGCCAGUCCACAUUCUGUGGUGGGCUCGGCUGCCACGGCUGUGGAUGGAUAUACACGGCCAUUGCUGUCGACAUCGGCCGAAACGCAAAUAGACUGUCCUCCGUUCGGCACUACCCCCCUCGAAGAGCUCCUGUCCCUUCAUUACUAAGAGCACAUACAGACCGCUAACUCAUCUCGUCAGUCACGGCGAGGCCAGUCUGUUCCACAAAGAUGCAAAAGUCGGAGAAUAAGGGGACCUGCAUGACAUUUGCCCUGCAAAUAUUAUCGAGGGCCUUCGAAGCAUGGUCUUCCUCCCUAAACCGGGCAGACGCAUCACCCACCUUCCGAAAAUUCGUGCCAACCAGACGAAUGAAUUUUUUCCGGUCAAAUGGGAAAAAAAAAUCAACUAUCAUGUGGUCUGCUAGGUUGCCACAGACGUUCAGGAUCUCAAAUACAUCUCCCUAUACUUGCCCAGUUCUUCAAAUAAAUCCUCAUACAAGUCCUGAAUAUAUAACUAAAUGAAUUCAAAACAUAGGGUAAUUCCUUUCAUCCAGAUAUGAGGACAGAAGCCGCAACAAAAAGUCGAGGGUUAGAUCGCAUGAAAACGUGUUGUUAAUGACUGCCGAAAAAAAUGAACAAGAUAAUCUCAAUCACCACUUAUUUUAUAUUUUUGCUUCAAAAUAUACCCCUUUCUUCUUCAAUCAGAAGAAUGAGCAGUUGGAACACGUUGAAUGAAAUUAAUAGUGUGAAACAUCUUCAGUGAACUAAACACAGAUGACAGAUGAAAGAAGCAAUCAGAAAUACUAUAAUUGCGUGAUGUUUAUUUGCUCUUAGGUCAAUCAAACAAGAUGCAACUCAGGCCACACUAUAAGUGAAAUGACUGAGAAACAAAAAA
rnacentral:lncRNA from 1 species